GCUGGGGGAGACUGGCCAGGUAGGAGCCUUCAGCUCAGCGGGUGCUGGCCGAGCACCUGUCCUUGGAUGCACCCCUGAGAUUGUGCUACAGAAGGUGUUGCCCGGCUCUGCCCUUGAGAACCCUCUGGGAUCUGCCUGGGGUUGAGCCCAGACUCCAGGAGGGGGUGUGGAUGGGGCCGGAGACUGGUCUUGUCGGACAGGCACUCUUGCACGGCCUAGUGAGUAGGCGCCUCGCCCGUCCUCCCUGGCACUGUCCACACGCCUCUGUGUCGGCGUUCACGUGUGUCCGAGCCAGCACCCAUCAUCUUCACGAGGCACCAACUGGCCGGUGACCCUGAACCAAAGGUUCCUGAGUGAUGCUUGCUUGGGGCUGCUGUGCCGAGAAGCAGGGCAGAGUCUGUGGAAGCGAAGCCCCUACCCCUCUGUGAUGCAGGACUCCAUGUGAGCACGGGCCGUGGCCACAGCAAUUAAGCCAGGAGGCUGUGUCUGAGAAAGGCCGUCAGGGCACACUGAGGGUCAGAGGUCACGUGACGUGGCGGCUGGCCCGAUGGACAGCUGAUAAGGGAAGACUCAUCCAUUGGGAUCCACUGUGGGGAGCUCCCCAUGACGGCACAUACCCAUUUAGACAGCCAAGGCCCCACGAGGGGGCACUGCCAACCUGGGACCACUUGACUUGUCCAGCUUGGGGGUUCCCUCAUCCCACCCACAGCAUAGAUUCAAACCCCAGAUUCCCAGUGAGAACUGGCACCGUGAGCUUUUGCGCGUUAGGCCUGGAUGACUCGGAGCUGACAUUCGCACGCUGAUUUUGGAGUGCCCCACAUCACCUGAUUCAUGGGGGAUUGGAGCCUGGACACGAAAGAGUGCUUCUGCUCAUCCUCUGGGCAUGGUGUGUGCAUGCAUGUGACUAUGCCAUAGCAUUUUGUCCUAUGUCAUUUCCUAGAAGUGUGUAGAAAAGGGAUAAAUGAGGAAGCUGGUGUACGAGCAAUAGGUUUCAUAAUCUUGAUACAGUUGCACCAAACGUGGAAAUUACUUAGCAUGACCAAGGCUGACCUUCGGGGCCCCAGGACCCCUGUAACUCCAUUGUGUCCACUAUGUCCUCAACUAUGAGAAGAGAGAGGGAUACGAAGAUGCAGGCACAACACGCUGACGUCAUAUUGUCAGAAAUGGCUUUGAAAAGGUUAAGACUUUGUUAAGGAUGAUCUUUCGAUAUGGCACCUUAUCCACAGUUUCAAAACCCAGAAAGAUCUCAAACAUGAAAAAUUGAUUUUGACAGUUCACCACAGACCCAUUUAGCACCAGAAUCUGACUUAGGCUGACCUAGGAAUCUUUAUACGUGAUGUAAACAUUCAUGCAUUUUGCUGCAGAAAUACUAUGUUGACUAGAAGGUGCUGUUUCAGACUCUGCUAGGAGUACCGUGCCCUGAACAGAUUUCUCACACUAGCACCUACUAAAAUCAUAAAUCUUCUUUAAAAAAAAAUUUUUUUUAAUGUUUAUUUAUUUUUGAGAGA